rnacentral:rRNA from 1 species
AUUGAACGCUGGCGGCAGGCCUAACACAUGCAAGUCGAGCGGAUGAAGGGAGCUUGCUCCUGGAUUCAGCGGCGGACGGGUGAGUAAUGCCUAGGAAUCUGCCUGGUCGUGGGGGCUAACGUCCGGAAACGGGCGCUAAUACCGCAUACGUCCUGAGGGAGAAAGUGGGGGAUCUUCGGACCUCACGCUAUCAGAUGAGCCUAGGUCGGAUUAGCUAGUUGGUGGGGUAAAGGCCUACCAAGGCGACGAUCCGUAACUGGUCUGAGAGGAUGAUCAGUCACACUGGAACUGAGACACGGUCCAGACUCCUACGGGAGGCAGCAGUGGGGAAUAUUGGACAAUGGGCGAAAGCCUGAUCCAGCCAUGCCGCGUGUGUGAAGAAGGUCUUCGGAUUGUAAAGCACUUUAAGUUGGGAGGAAGGGCAGUAAGUUAAUACCUUGCUGUUUUGACGUUACCAACAGAAUAAGCACCGGCUAACUUCGUG